rnacentral:rRNA from 1 species
GACGAACGCUGGCGGCGUGCCUAAUACAUGCAAGUAGAACGCUGAAGGAAGGAGCUUGCUCUUUCUGGAUGAGUUGCGAACGGGUGAGUAACGCGUAGGUAACCUGCCUGGUAGCGGGGGAUAACUAUUGGAAACGAUAGCUAAUACCGCAUAAAAUUGAUUAUUGCAUGAUAGUCAAUUAAAAGGUGCAACUGCACCACUACCAGAUGGACCUGCGUUGUAUUAGCUAGUUGGUGGGGUAACGGCUCACCAAGGCGACGAUACAUAGCCGACCUGAGAGGGUGGUCGGCCACACUGGGACUGGGACACGGCCCAGACUCCUACGGGAGGCAGCAGUAGGGAAUCUUCGGCAAUGGACGGAAGUCUGACCGAGCAACGCCGCGUGAGUGAAGAAGGUUUUCGGAUCGUAAAGCUCUGUUGUAAGAGAAGAACGAGUGUGAGAGUGGAAAGUUCACACUGUGACGGUAUCUUACCAGAAAGGGACGGCUAACUACGUG